rnacentral:rRNA from 1 species
AACGAACGCUGGCGGCAUGCCUAACACAUGCAAGUCGAACGAGACCUUCGGGUCUAGUGGCGCACGGGUGCGUAACGCGUGGGAACCUGCCCUUAGGUUCGGAAUAACUCCCCGAAAGGGGUGCUAAUACCGGAUAAUGUCUUCGGACCAAAGAUUUAUCGCCUUUGGAUGGGCCCGCGUUGGAUUAGCUAGUUGGUAGGGUAAAAGCCUACCAAGGCGACGAUCCAUAGCUGGUCUGAGAGGAUGAUCAGCCACACUGGGACUGAGCCACGGCCCAGACUCCUACGGGAGGCAGCAGUGGGGAAUAUUGGACAAUGGGCGAAAGCCUGAUCCAGCAAUGCCGCGUGAGUGAUGAAGGCCUUAGGGUUGUAAAGCUCUUUUACCCGGGAUGAUAAUGACAGUACCGGGAGAAUAAGCUCCGGCUAACUCCGUG